rnacentral:lncRNA from 1 species
GCUGGAGUAUGAACGGCUACGUAGAGAAAAAUUAGAAUGUCAGCUGGAUGAGUAUCGAGCAGAGGUGGAUCAACUCAGGGAAAUGCUGGAAAAAAUUCAAGCCCCCAACUUUGCAGCUGUGGAAGAUGACUCUUCUUGUGAGUCAAGCAAAGAGAAGAGGCGAGUGAAGAAAAAGGUGUCUUCUGGGGGAGUUUUUGUGAAAAGGUACUAAUCAGUGAAAUAACUUUAAACUUGAUUUAAAAAAAUUUUUAAAUUGAUAUGAACGUACAUCUGUAUAAAUUCUUCUCAGAAUUACUCUGACAUGCUGUUAUUCCAAUUCUGAAGGCAGAAAUAUGUCAUAUAAUGUCAAAGGGAUUAAAAUUACAGGGGCUGUUGUAUUACCCCUCCCAACAUACUUUUUAUGUAUUUAAGUAGUAGGCAAGUCAAGAUGCUGGAUUUGAGUAAUUAAUUUUGCAAGUAUUCACAUAAACUUUAAAAUAAUACAGUGUAAUAUUCAAAAGGUCUAUUUAUAGAUAAUAAAGACUAGAAGUUCUAUUAUAACUUCGUAAUAGAAUUAUAUAUUUUUUACUUUCUAAAGUAGAAUUUUAACUAGUGUAGAUAUAGCUCCCCCCGUGUUUCGACUUGAUACUUUAUAAGAAUUUUUAAAAAAUAUUUUAUUGAAGUGUAAUUGGUAUAUAAUGUGUUAAUUUCUGCUCUACAACAAAAUGAUUAUUAUACAUAUACACAUUUUUUCAUAUUCUUUUCCAUUAGAGUUUAUCAUUGGAUAUUGAACAUAGUCCCCGAUGCUAGACAGUAAGACCUUGUUGUUUAUCCCUUUGAUAUAGAAUAGUUUGCAUCUGCUAAUUCCAAACUCAACCCAUCCCAUCUCCUUUCUGCUCCGGCAACCACAAGUCUGUUUUCUAUGUCUAGAAGUCUACUUCUGAUUUGUAGGUAAGUUCAUUUGUGUCAUAUUUUAGAUUCCACAUGUAGGUGAUAUUGUAUAUUUGUCUUUCUCUUUCUGACUUACUUAGUAUAAUCUCUAGGUCCAUCAUGUUGUUGCAAAUGGCAAUUAUUUCAUUCUUUUCCAGGGUCGAGUAGUCAUUCCAUUGCGCAUAUAUACCACCUCUCCCCCCACCCCUUUUUUUUUUUUUUGGCCAUGGCCAUUGCAUAUGAAAGUUCCUGGGCCAGAAAUCAAACCUGUGCCACAGCAACAGCUGGAGUUGCUGCAGCUGACACUGCUGGAUCCUUAACCGCUAUGCCACAUGGCAACUCCUGUUUCAUUCUUCUGUGUACACCCAUCUUCUUAAUCCAUCCGUUGAUGGACAUCUAGGUUGUUUCCAUGUCUUGGCUGUUGUGAACAGCAUUGCUAUGAACACUGAGUGCGAGUGUCUUUUGGAAUUACAGUUUUGUCCAGACAUGUGUCGGGGGUAGGACUGCUGAAUCAUAUGACAACUCUGUUUUUAGUUUUUCUGAGGAACUUCCAUACUGUUUUCUAUAGUGGCUGCACCAGUUUACACCCCACCAAGACUACAGAAAAGUUGUUCCCUUUUUCUCUGCACCCUCUCCAGCACUUUUUUUUGUAGAUUUUUUUGAUGAUGGUCAUUCUGAUUGGUGUGAGGUGAUACCUCAUGUAGUUUUGAUUUGUAUUUCUCUAACAAUUAGCAAUGUUGAGUGUCUUUUCAUGUGCCUGUUGGCCAUCUGUACGUCAAAUUACUUGAUUUUUAAAAAGCAUCUGAACUCGGGAGAAAAAGACCACUAAGUUUUGGAAAAGGACAACUUUACAAUAACAACAAGAUAGCUCACUAAGGAAAGUUCAUAUAGAAUGGAAAUCAGCUGUUGAAGAUUUUUUUUAAAAAACCCCAUAAUGUGUUUGCUGAAAAUACACAUUUAAAUAAUCUGUUUUAGAAAUCAACCAGUGUUCUGUCUUGCAAGCUUUAUAAGAAAGGAAUAAUAGGACAGGCUGAAAAACAUGUGGCUUUAUUCUUUUUCCCCUGUGACUUUGCUGAUCAAAACCCAACCAUGGCUUUCAUUUCAGUUCUGCCUUCAAUUCCGUCACUUUUUUCACUCCACCUAUUCCUUUCUUGAGCUAGCAAGUGAGUGGCUCUCUUGGGGCACAAGUCUAGACCCUGCCUCCUCCUUCAAGAUUUGAUUACUGGCUUUGGGCUUGCUUCACUGGCAACAGCCUUCUCACCACACACCAGACUGCCCCUCUUUAGACCCUGGCAGGUGUCUCACAUGGACGCUAAAGGCCAUUUUGGUCCAGUAUCAUUAGGACCAGUUUGCCCUGACAUGAGUGCAUGUGAUGGUUAAGACCAGCUCAGCCUGGUCUGGAGCCUAUAAGCAAGUGUUCGUAUCCUUUUGGUAACCUUUAUAGUCAUAUUGUCAGCUUUUCUGUGGUUUCCCAUAGGCUUUCAAUCUGUAGUAAAAGUAGUUGUCAAGAUCUACUGGGCACUUACUAUGUGUGAUCUGUGCCAAGCCCUUUACAUGUAUUAUUGCUUAAUUCUCCCCAUGGCUCUAUGACAGGUAUGCUAGUCAAUAUGUGGAGAUUAAGUAAUUUGCCAAGAGUCCCUCAGCAAUGUGGAGCUAGGAUCCUAACUUUGGGAGGGAAAUUUCAGAGUCUGCAUUCUUCUUGGAAUUCCCAAAUCCAGUAUUUCUCUCAGCUUCUGGAACUACACACAGCCUUAUUUUUUCCUUCUAGCCUGGGGACCUUAAAGUAAUCCCAACCCUGGAAAUAGUUUGUUGUACUUGCUCCAGUUUUAUCAAGGCCGUAUCUCUAGUCUCUGUCUGUACCAGUGAGGUAGGAAAUACCAGAAGAGUGCUGUAAUAGAAGCAGGCGCCCUGUGGCAGAGUUCCCUGGCUGUCUCCCAAUAGCUCUUCUCCCUCUUUUCCAGAGUAUUAGUAUGUACCUGGCUUGUGGGUGCUCAGGAUAAGGACUAGGUUCCCAGUCUCCUUUGCACGUAACAAACCAAGUUGUGGCCCACAGAAUGUGAGCAAAAAUGGUGUGUAUAAACUUGGUGUCAUGUCCCUAAAGGGAAAGGGCUUUCCCCACAUCUUGCCCUUUUCUUCUGAAAUGAGUCACUGAACCUUGUGAAUGAGGGCAUCACCAUAAAUGGUGGAGCAGUAAGAAUAAAAAGGAGCCUGGACCCAUGAAAAGAUGCUCAACAUUGCUAAUUACUAGAGAAAUGCAAGUCAAAACUACACUGAGAUACCACCUCACACCAGUCAGAAUUGGCCAUCAUGAAAAAGUCAUAACAAAUGCUGGAGACGGUGUGAAGAAAAGGGAACAACCUUCCUACAUGCUUGGUGGGAAUAUAAACUGGUGCAGCCACUAUGAAAUACAGUAUGGAGGCACCUCGAAAAACUAAAAAGAGUUACCAUAUGGUCCAGCCAUCCCACUCCAAGGCAUGUAUCUGGAAAAGACGAAAGCUCUGAUUAAAAAGACAAAUGCACACAAUGUUCAUAGCACCACUAAUUACAAUAGCCAAGACAUGGAAGCAACCUAAGUGUCUAUCAACAGAUGAAUAAAUAAAGAAGAUGUGGUAUAUAUACAAUCGAAUACGACCCAGCCAUAAAAAGAAUGAAAUGAUGCCAUUUGCAGCAACACAAAUAGAUUUAGAGUGAAGUCAAAGAAAGACCAAUAUUACAUGCUAUCACUUAUAUGUGAAAUCUAAAAAAUAGCAAAGGAGUUCCUACUGUGGCGCUGGGUGUUGAGAUCCAGUAUUGCUGGAGCUGUGGCACAGGUCACAGAUGCAACUUCAAUUUAAUCCCUGGCUUAGGAACUUCCAUAUGCUGUGGAUGCAGCCAUUAAAAAAACCAAAAAAACAUAUAUAUAUAUGAACUUAUUUACAAAAUAGAAACAGAGUCACAAACCUAGAAAACAAAUAUAUGGUUACCAAAGGGGAGGGAUAAACUGGGAGUAUGGGAUUAACAGAUGUGUACAACCAUGUAUAAAAGAUCAACAACAAGGAUUUAGUGUGGACCACAGGGAACUGUAUUCAAUAUCUUACGGUGUUCCCGUCGUGGCUCAGCAGAAAUGAAUCUGACUAGCAUCCAUGAGGAUACAGGUUUGAUCCCUGGCCUUUCUUGCUCAGUGGGUUAAGGAUCCAGCGCUGCUGUGAGCUAUGGUGUAGGUUGCAGAUGCAGCUUGGAUCUGGUGUUGCUGUGGCUGUGGUGUAGGCUAGUAGCUACAGCUCUGAUUUGACCCCUAGUCUGGAACCUCCAUAUGCCACGAGUAUGGCCCUAACAAGACAAAAAAAGAUAUAUAUCUAUGUAUAGAUAUAUCUUGUAAUAAAC